GGGGCAGUAGGGUAGCCUGGUCUAUCCUAGAGCGUUUGGGACGCUUUGACGGCAGUUCGAAUCUGCCCUGCCCCA
rnacentral:tRNA from 1 species